GACGAACGCUGGCGGCGCGCCUAACACAUGCAAGUCGAACGAGCGAGAGAGAGCUUGCUUUCUUGAGCGAGUGGCGAACGGGUGAGUAACGCGUGAGGAACCUGCCUCAAAGAGGGGGACAACAGUUGGAAACGACUGCUAAUACCGCAUAAGCCCACGACCCGGCAUCGGGUUGAGGGAAAAGGAGCAAUCCGCUUUGAGAUGGCCUCGCGUCCGAUUAGCUAGUGGGUGAGGUAACGGCCCACCAAGGCGACGAUCGGUAGCCGGACUGAGAGGUUGAACGGCCACAGUGGGACUGAGACACGGCCCAGACUCAUACGGGAGGCAGCAGUGGGGAAUAUUGCACAAUGGGGGAAACCCUGAUGCAGCGACGACGCGUGGAGGAAGAAGGUCUUCGGAUUGUAAACUCCUGUUGUGGAGGAAGAUAAUGACGGUACUCAACAAGGAAGCGACGGCUAACUACGUG
rnacentral:rRNA from 1 species